UACGUAGGUGGCUAUUCAAGUUAGUGGUGAAAUUCCGGGGCUCAACUCCGGCGCUACCACUAAGACUGUUUAGCUUGAGUGCAGGAGGGGUAAGUGGAAUUCCUAGUGUAGCGGUGGAAUGCGUAGAUAUUAGGAGGAACACCAGUGGCGAAGGCGACUUACUGGACUGUAACUGACGCUGAGGCGCGAAAGUGUGGGGAGCAAACA
rnacentral:rRNA from 1 species